rnacentral:rRNA from 1 species
UACGGAGGGUGCAAGCGUUAUCCGGAUUUACUGGGUUUAAAGGGUGCGUAGGCGGGUUGGUAAGUCAGUGGUGAAAUACUUUCGCUUAACGAAGGAACUGCCAUUGAUACUACCAGUCUUGAAUACAGUGGAGGUAGGCGGAAUGCGUCAUGUAGCGGUGAAAUGCUUAGAUAUGACGCAGAACACCAAUUGCGAAGGCAGCUUGCUACACUGUUAUUGACACUGAGGCACGAAAGCGUGGGGAUCAAACAGG